UGGAAAUCUCCCAAGCUCCAAGGAUC
rnacentral:piRNA from 1 species